rnacentral:lncRNA from 1 species
CUCACUGAGGCCCGUACCUGUCCGGGAAAGGGCGGCCGGCCCGGCUCCCUGCCCACGCCACCUGACUCUGGUUCAGCUGUCGGGAGAUUUGGGACAUGUUCUGGCCCGUUGACGAGGAGGACUGGAUGUCAUUCACACCAGGCACGUGGACCACGGAAGAGCUACGAGAGACGAAGUCGCUUUUGUCCCCGGGAGACCCCUCGCCCGCGACGCGGGUCCCUGGGCCCUCCUGUUCAAUCCCCCGUGCGGCCUCUGUCCGUCCGUCCGUCUCUCCAGGGCAGCACGUCACGGGACAAAAAGGCCCCCAGCCCGUCACCGCUGCACUCUGCCUCUUUGGCCCCAGCAGGGCCCGCUCUCUCUUCCCCGCGGCCCAGACCCCACCCGUGUGUCUCUUGCUCCCCGC